AUCACUUCUUGGCCUUUUGGCUAAGAUCAAGUGUAUUAUCUGUUCUUAUCAGUUUAAAUAAACAUAUGGUGACACCUGUUUUGAGUAGAUUUUUGGUAAAGUAAUAUUGCUGAUUUUUAAAGCAUACUUUGAUUUUACAAGAUUCAAAGAAGUACUGUCCGGAUAUUUAAAAUCUCCUCAAAAGAACUGAUUUUA